UGAUGAUGAUGAUGAUGAUGUGAUGAUGAUGUGAUGAUGAUGAUGAUGAUGAUGACCAUCAUCAUCAUCAUCAUCAUCAUCAUCAUCAUCAUCAUCA
rnacentral:pre_miRNA from 1 species